CGCAGGUGGAAGCUGUUGAGGCAGUGCUCCUGGCGCACGUUGGCCAUAGCAGCGGCGGCUUUCCCUAUUCACCUGUUGAGCUCUGGACUGAGGGACAGAUGGCUGGAGACUGUCGAUCCUAGUAAUAUUGGAGAGUGAAGACGGGAACCU